rnacentral:lncRNA from 1 species
CACUCUACCCCACACACCCCCACGCUUACAAUUCUUAACAUCUCUCUCUAUAUAUACACUUGUAUAUCAUCUCUAUAACUCAUUCAUCUAUUCUAAAACCAUUUUCUUUGCUCAUAUAUAACAACAAAACAAAGAAAGUUCAUUGGUUUAUAUCAAAGAACGGGUUUUGUAGCACCACGAUUACUGAAAAAUGGCAGCUGCAUCAGUUAAUGCCACAAUUUCAAUGCUUGACUCCAACAUGGAAACAGAUAAGCUCACGUACGAAAUUUUCUCCAUUCUUGAAAACAAAUUCCUUUUUGGCUAUGAUGAUACAAAAACUUCAGAUAAAAUUUCAUCAGCUCCGUUCGCCGGAAACAAGAAUGCCGGCAACGGAAACUUUGGCUAUGAUGAUACAAAAACUUUAGACAAAAAUUCAUCAUCUCCUUUAGCCGGAAACAAGAAUGCCGGCACCGGAAAAGUUAGAAUUUUGACAAUUGAUGCUGGUGGGUCCACUGAUGGUGUCCUUGCCGGAAAAUCUUUGACCCAUUUGGAAGCUACCCUUCGCGAGAAAUCGGGAAAACCAAAUGCUCAUAUUGCUGAUUUUUUCGAUGUUGUCGCUGGCUCGGGCGUCGGCGGUGUACUCGCCGGUCUUUUGUUCACACGUGGGAAUGAUGGGGUACCUAUGUUUACUGCAAAGGAAGCUCUUGAUUUCGUUGUCGAGAAUGGUCGGAAAAUUUCCCGGGGUUUGAAGACAGGAGUUUUCCGGCGAGUUUCCCGACCGGCGAAGGUGUUUAAGAAAGUAUUCGGGGAUUUAACGUUAAAAGAUACGAUGAAAGCGGUUUUAAUCCCAUGUUACGAUCUUACUACUGGGGCGCCAUUUGUUUUUUCGCGCGCUGAUGCGUUGGAAAUGGACGGUUGUGAUUUCACGGUGGCGGAUGUAUGUGUGGCCACCAAUGCUGAUCGUGCGGUGGAUAUAAAGUCUGUUGACUGUAGGACGAAGAUGACAGCCGUUGGUGGUAUUGGAAAUGGACGGCUGUGAUUUCACGAUGGCGGAUGUAUUUGGGGCCACGAUGGCUGAUCGUGCGGUGGAUAUAAAGUCUAUUGAUUGUAGGACGAAGAUCACAGCCGUGGGUGGUGGAAUUGCGAUGACUAAUCCAACGGCUGCAGCUAUUACACAUGUCCUCAAUAACAAGCAAGAGUUCCCAUUUGCUAAUGGAGUUGAAGAUUUAUUAGUUGUUUCUUUGGGAAAUGGAGAUUCAGAUUCCGGCACCGGAAAUGUGAUGUCAUCGCCGGCGGGGUUCGUUAAGAUUGCCGGAGAUGGAACUGCCGACAUGGUAUGUCUUCUUGGUUCAUGCAAAUUACUUUUAGUAUUUUAAUUUAAUCAGUGGAAGGAGUAGUAAUAAUUGCUAUCUUUAAAAUACUUCCUAAUUAGAAUAGUAGGUACUCUGGAAUUAAUGAGAUUUAUUGAUUAAAAAAAACCUUCUUUUGGCAUGGGACCUCACAUUAUUUAGUGGCAUUUAGAGAAAAGUAGUACACAUUAAAUGUUUCAACAAAGUCACCCAACUUUUUACUAUAAAAUUAAUAACUUUAGUUUUGCAAUCUUUUUUAUAGU